CAGGGGUCGGACAAAAAGUGCGGAUGACGUAAAAAUGACGUAAUCUUGCACACAGGAUGAUGUUUGAGUUUGUAUUUUAACUUCCGUGUGACAUGUAGUAACAAAGUAGUAUUAAUGAAGUAACAAAAUAAUUGUAAAUAAAUCCAUGGAAUUAAUAAUACAGGUGGUAGAUAGGGUGAUGUAGUGAAUAAAAUAAAUUUCACGAAACUUGUUACCAUAAGGUAUAAUUAUUUGAAAUUAGUUAGAACAAGUCUGUGGGAUCCUCAGAUAAAUAGGUUUAAUAGUCAAAAGUGGGAACAGUAGUAAGAUUAAGCAGUAUACGUGUUUGUCACGUACCUCCAAAAACGGAAAAUUGCCACAAUAUUCGAGUAAAGAUGACAUUUCAGAGCGUUUUCUUAUA